rnacentral:tRNA from 1 species
GCGGAAGUGGCGGAAUUGGUAGACGCGCUAGAUUCAGGUUCUAGUGGCCGAAAGGCUGUGGGGGUUCAAGUCCCCCUUUCCGCACCA